UACGUAGGUGGCAAGCGUUGUCCGGAAUUAUUGGGCGUAAAGCGCGCGCAGGCGGUCCUUUAAGUCUGAUGUGAAAGCCCACGGCUCAACCGUGGAGGGUCAUUGGAAACUGGGGGACUUGAGUGCAGGAGAGAAGAGUGGAAUUCCUGGUGUAGCGGUGAAAUGCGCAGAUAUCAGGAAGAACACCCGUGGCGAAGGCGGCUCUCUGGGACGGUACUGACGCUGAGACGCGAAAGCGUGGGGAGCGAACAGG
rnacentral:rRNA from 1 species